rnacentral:rRNA from 1 species
GAUGAACGCUGGCGGCGUGCCUAAUACAUGCAAGUCGAGCGAACAGAUGAGGAGCUUGCUCCUCUGACGUUAGCGGCGGACGGGUGAGUAACACGUGGAUAACCUACCUAUAAGACUGGGAUAACUUCGGGAAACCGGAGCUAAUACCGGAUAAUAUAUUGAACCGCAUGGUUCAAUAGUGAAAGACGGUUUUGCUGUCACUUAUAGAUGGAUCCGCGCCGCAUUAGCUAGUUGGUAAGGUAACGGCUUACCAAGGCAACGAUGCGUAGCCGACCUGAGAGGGUGAUCGGCCACACUGGAACUGAGACACGGUCCAGACUCCUACGGGAGGCAGCAGUAGGGAAUCUUCAGCAAUGGGCGAAAGCCUGACGGAGCAACGCCGCGUGAGUGAUGAAGGUCUUCGGAUCGUAAAACUCUGUUAUUAGGGAAGAACAAAUGUGUAAGUAACUAUGCACGUCUUGACGGUACCUAAUCAGAAAGCCACGGCUAACUACGUG